rnacentral:rRNA from 1 species
UAUCCAGACUCCUACGGGAGGCAGCAGUGGGGAAUAUUGCACAAUGGGCGAAAGCCUGAUGCAGCAACGCCGCGUGAAGGAAGACGGUUUUCGGAUUGUAAACUUCUGUUCUUAGUGAAGAAUAAUGACGGUAACUAGGGAGCAAGCCACAGCUAACUACGUGCCAGCAGCCGCGGUAAUACGUAGGGGGCAAGCGUUAUCCGGAAUUACUGGGUGUAAAGGGAGCGUAGACGGUGAAGUAAGUCUGGAGUGAAAGGCGGGGGCCCAACCCCCGGACUGCUCUGGAAACUAUUUGACUGGAGUGCAGGAGAGGUAAGCGGAAUUCCUAGUGUAGCGGUGAAAUGCGUAGAUAUUAGGAGGAACACCAGUGGCGAAGGCGGCUUACUGGACUGUAACUGACAUUGAGGCUCGAAAGCGUGGGGAGCAAACAGGAUUAGAUACCCGUGUA